rnacentral:rRNA from 1 species
UACGUAGGCAGCGAGCGUUGUUCGGAAUUACUGGGCGUAAAGAGUGUGUAGGCGGUGCUCUAAGUUCGGUGUGAAAUCUCCUGGCUCAACUGGGAGGGUGCGCCGGAAACUGGAGUGCUUGAGCGUGGGAGAGGAAAGCGGAAUUCCUGGUGUAGCGGUGAAAUGCGUAGAUAUCGGGAGGAACACCAGGGGCGAAGGCGGCCCUCUGGGCCGGGCCUGACGCUGAGACGCGAGGGCGUGGGGAGCGAACGGG